GGAAGGCAUACGAAAAAAAAUGGAGAGGAAACUAGGAGAGUCGUCAGACUGUGAGGCAAGUCUGACCCUAGAGUGAAGAAGGGAAGAAAGGAAGGUUCGGAAGACCGUCCUCUACAUUCUAGCUCAGUCCAAGAGAGGUUCGGCGAGGCCAUCGAGGAACCCACCAGCCAAAGCUGAAGGUCAGAGGAGUGCCCUGUCUCCCGGGAACCCACGCUUUGGCAUCACCACCGCACGCACUCAUUCGCUCGGAGCGCCAUGGGAGGCGUGGUCCGGCAGCUGCGGCACUCACUCAUUGGCUGGGAGCACCGUGGGAGGGGUGGUCUGGCAGCUGGGGAGUGCAGUUCAGGGCUGGCCGCAGCCCAGCGAUCAUCAUUUAUGCUCCAUGGAGGAGGAAGUCUCCUUCUUCUGGCUGCCAUGUGGGCGUUCAGAGGCGAGAGGAGGUGACUUCUUGUUUAUAGGGAGGAGAAAAAUUACUAAAGGUAUGUCUUCCACAAAAGGGCGGGGAAUCUUAAUUUUGAGGCUCAGCAAGUAUCUGUUGAACACAUACUACUCUUCGACACGGUGGAAGACACUGUAAGACUGGGCACGCCUCAAAAAGCUUAUCAGCUAGUUAAGUGACAAAGUCAAGUCACAUACAUGCUCCUGACCCUCAGUCUUCCCAUUUCGAAAAUAAAGAUAACUCCACCCACCUGUGUGACGUGUGACACUUAGAUCCAGUGGCCUCCCUGCAUAAGAAUCGUGAGAAAGAAGAGGAAACAGAUUUUCCAGCACCAGGGACGUGUGACAGCAUUUGGACACUUUUGAUUGUUGUCAUCGAGGGGUUGGAGGAGUGCUAUGGUUAGAGGUCAAUGAUGCUGCUAAACAUCCUACAAUGCACGUGACAGCCUCCCAAAACAGACUUACCUGGCCCCAAAUGUCAGUUGUACCCUGCAGUACAGCCAGCUCUAAAACUGUACCCUCGCCAACGAUGUUUGUUGCCAAAUAGAGAGUUGACAAACUUUGCACUAGCUAUCAAAAUGAUGUCCUUAACGUGGAGUUGGGAAGAGUUGCGUGGAAUUGGCGCUCACCAGCUGCUACGAGCCAGCCCCAGACAUUCACUCACGGCCCAUCGAUUCUCAGAUCUCAGGAAGAAGAAGCAAGCCAGCACACUUUCCCACAAAUGGUGAUGGCUUUCAGUGUCAUGCAAAGCCACGCUGGAGCCUAAGGCAAAGACAAAGUCGCUAAUACUAAUCCUGUCUUCAUUUAAAACUUUGAAAGUUGGUUUAUCAUGGAUUUUUUGCAUCAGUUUUGAUUUUUUAAAAUAUUGCCUUAAAUCUUUAUUCCGCCUCCUUUUUAUUCUCCUCCUUCUAUUUUUCUUCUCCCUUUUCUUUUCUUCCCCCUCCCCCCUCUUUUUUAUUUUGCUAUUUAUAGUAGAAUGGUUAAGCCACCAGAGCCAGACCACACAGGUUCAAAUUAGCAAAUGGCUCUGUCACUUAAUAACCGUAUGACUCUGAGCACGUUGCUGACAUAUAGGUGCUUGCUAUUUUAUAUAUGUGUACUUUUUUUUGCUAAAUAUAUGUAUAAUAUAAAUAUAAAUAUGCUAACAAAUAUUGAGUGUUUAUGUUGAGCACUUGACUAAUCAUUUUAUAUACAUUAUCUCAUUUAAUCUACACAUGUGCACACACACAGAACAUGAGGUUUAUGGAUGAGGAAACUGAGGCCCAAAGAGAUUGAAGACCACACCCGGAGUCACACAGCUAGCUAGUGGUGGGGCCGAGAUGCAUGCUCAAGUCGGUCUGAUUCUAGAGCCUGCCCUCUUAAACCUCAUGUUGCACGUAUUUUGGGAAC
rnacentral:lncRNA from 1 species